rnacentral:lncRNA from 1 species
CCCCCCCACCUCUCCUAACCAUGCACACCAGACGCUCAUUCAUUCAUUCAUUAAUUAUCUCGUAAUUUGUUAAUAAUUAUGCGACCUCUCUCUAUUCUCUAGUCUCUACCCACCUCGUUUUAUUUUAUAUUUUUUUACAUUAAUUAUUAACGCCGUUACAAGCCAUUUACUCGUGUCACAGAGACCAAUAAUAACUAGUUCACGCCCAAAACGGAGCCUCACCUUAAUGUAUUCACAUUGGGUCACGAACCACGGAGGGGUGCGAAUUGAGAGCAGGGACAAGCAUAACGUGACAAAUUAGUGGUAUUUUUGGUCUUUUAAUUACUAGACCACAUUAUUAUUGUUUUAGGCCUCUUGGAACUUUAUUUUAUUUAUUUAUUUAUUUAUUAAGUAGUGUCACCGAGAGUAGAUGACUACUCUUUCUUUGACAAUGUGGUGUGAUUUAUUAUUGGUUUCGUAGCACGAGAGUUAGAGCAAAAUAUAUGUUCGUCAAAAAAUUUAUUUCUAUUUUAUUUUUUAUUCCAACGGACUAGGACAAAAGUUUAUACGAUUAUUGCUUGCACCUGGUGCACUAGUCAAUCUGUGCACUACAUCUCUCAUAGGUCCACAUAAUUUUUUAUUUCCAUAUAACCGACCGUCCCUAAUGCAAGUAACAAAUGAUUUGGUAGUUGGUACCCCUGGCCCUAAGUUUGAAUUCUAGUUGAUUUUUAUUUCCAACUAAGCUUAUUCUUUUAAAAAAUAAACGAGGUGAAUAACAUGCUACUUUUCUCUCAAAAAUAAUAUUUUUCAUUUCAAUAUAUAGUGAAUAAAUACUAAAUGAUGGGAUGGCAUAUCUUCGUUUUAAAUGAAUUUUUUUAGAUAUAUAAUUAUAAGUGUUUGCAUCUAUAAUGUUGAAAUUGCAGUAAUUUAUACAUGUAAUCUAAAAUAUCAUAUAAUUACAUAAGAAAUUAUUUAAAAGAUAUAGAGUAGUUUGUAUUUUCAUAAGUAUUGAUGAGAGUGCAUGAAAAUUAUUUUGUGAGCCUCUCACCGCUAUUCAUGAUGGUGCAUGUGGGAGGUUGCAGUACGCAUGCACCACCAUUACUAAAAAGAACAACAACAACAACAAAAUAAUAAUAAUAAUAAUAAUAAAAUAGGUUUAUCUACUAAUUCCUUAGAAAGAGGUUUUGAGGAAUUAUUACACAGUAUCAUGCCAUUGGUGUGUUCGGAGUAAUCACAUUUAUUGUAUUAAUUAAUGGACCAAGAUCUUUCCCUAUUAGUUCAACAAAACUAAUAAAUAAAUAACUCUCCAGAUCAAAUUACCAAACCACGUUGCACUAUUAUAGUAGUUUAUUUAUCAUGGAUAACACAAAAAACCACCAUAUUUAUAUUCAAAAAUAGGUCUAAAUAUUUGUUCAAUUUUUUAGGCCAAUUAAGUCAGUUUUACACCUAACACUUUUUCUCUCAUAGGUUUUAUAGACCAUUCUUUGUAAAGGUGAAAAAGUCAACUACUGGGACCUCAUCUCUAAACCUUUUUUCCACAUCGAUUUCAAACUUAAAUUUGAAAAAAAAUGUGCAUAUGCUGUUUCUCUCUUUUCCUUUGAAAACAAAAAAAAAGGACAAGACAUUAUUAUAAAAACAAAGGAAAAGGAAAAAGUUAAACCUGAGAUUAGCAACUAUUUUAGUUUGGAGUAAAAGUGAGACUACUCAAAUACACUCCUCCCAUUUACUAACCGUUGGAAAAGGUCGAAGAAAAUUUAAAAAGAGAAAGGGAAAAAAAAUUAAAACCCCAACGGUCGUCCUUCCCUCUCCCUCUCCCUCUCCAACUUUUACAGGAAUCAUGUGUUUGGAGCGAACGAAGCAAGCGCACUUAAUCAUGGCCAUGGCCAACCUCUUCCUCAGAAACACCUACCACAAUUUAUAAUUGCAUUUUAGUCCCCACAUCCCCUUCACCUUCCUAAAAUGAUCUCCUUCUUAUGGACCAGCCCUGUUCCGACAAAGCAGAGGACCCCAACAAACUCUGUCUCCCAUUAACCCGCCACUUCAAACCCAUUUCGCUUUUGAGCUCUUCUGGGUCUCUAGAUCCCCCGAAGAAGCUCCGCCCCCAGAUGGGUUUGUUGUGAAAAAUCCAAUCUUGGUGAGAAAUUUAGGGAGGAGUUGUGUUGUUAGUGAGCGUCCUCUGUUCGGGGAAGCAGCGGGGAUUAGGAUGGAGAGAUUGGGAGAAGCCAUUGUUGGGGAAGGAGAUUGCUAUAGCGAUUCGACGGAGGAGGAGUGUCGCGGGAGCAGUUCGAGCUCGGAGAAUUCGUUGAGCGGAGACCUCCCGCAGAGGCUUCGUCGAUCGGAGGGGUCGGCGGAGCCGUCGGAGGAGUUGGGUUGGCCCAUGAAGAAGAAAAGCUCGAGCUCGGAUGCGGUGGAUGGGAAUGAGAAAAUCCAUGAGGAUGAUGCAGGAGUAGAGAAGCAGAAGCGAAAUGUUUCAGGUAUUGGAUUUCUCUAUAAUUUCUCAUAUUCUCAUAUUUUAGGCAUAUUGCACAUAAAUAAUUCCUUAGUUUAUUAGCAAAUUGUUGUAAAGUGCUUGAGUUUUAUGAACUCAGAGAGUAAUUUUAGGUUUCCAUGUUAGCCUUUUAGAAAUGUAAUCUGAACAGUAAUUAAUUGCUUUUUACUUACUUUGUUUACUCUUCUUCUAAUUAAACCCCUAGAUAUAUGCUUUUUUUUUUAUAUAUAAAUUGGUUAUGUAUUGAGGCUUAUUUUUGUACUUAAUCAGAAAUUGAGAUGAUGAAGGAGAGGUUCUCCAAAUUGCUACUUGGAGAGGACAUGUCGGGCUGCGGCAAGGGGGUGUGUACAGCAUUGGCCAUUUCAAAUGCUAUUACUAAUCUUUGUGGUAAUUUUUUUAAUAUCCUAAGGUUAUUUCUUCAUAAAAUCAUAUAUAUAUAUAUUCCAGAAAUUAUCUCUGUGAGAUCUUAUAAAUUUUUUUUGUUCAUUUUACUGUCCCCAUCAGCAACAAUAUUUGGGCAAUUGUGGAGGUUGGAGCCUCUUCCUCCCGAAAAAAAGUCAAUGUGGCAAAGAGAAAUGGAGUGGCUUAUUUGUGUUAGUGAUCACAUAGUCGAAUUUUUACCCACAUGGCAAACAUUUCCUGAUGGAAGCAAGCUUGAGGUAACUUUGUUAUAAUUAUCUGACCGACUAUGCUGCGUUUUGUCAAAUUACUAUAAAAAAUUCUUUUUGUUAGUUGAAUUCUUUGAAUUUAUAGAGAAGUUUCCCGCGAUUGAUUUAGCCGUGUAAUCUGCUCCUUUAUAAAAACAGAAGCCAUAAUUGUAUUAAGGAUACAUACCUUGGCUACAUGAUAGUGAUUAAACUUCUUGCUGAAAUCGAUUUCAGGUCAUGACAUGCAGACCGCGAUCCGAUUUAUAUGCAAACCUGCCUGCCCUUCGGAAAUUAGACAACAUGCUCCUUGUAAGAACUGCAGCAUAGUAACACCCCUAAUGUAGCAAAUAUAAACCUUUGGAGGAGGGUCAUUCAGAUUAGUUUAUUUCAUUACAGGAUGUACUGGAUAGUUUCAAUGAACCAGAAUUCUGGUACGUUGAUCAAGGAAUUUCUGCACCGGAUUGCGAUGGUUCGGCCUCCUUUCGAAGAGCUUUUCAUCGCCGCGAUGAGAAGUGGUGGCUGCCAGUACCCCGGGUGCCGCCUGGGGGUCUCAGUGAGAGUACAAAGAAGCAAUUGCAGCACAAACGCGAGUGCACGAACCAGAUUUUGAAGGCUGCCAUGGCUAUAAAUAGCAAUGCUUUGGCGGAAAUUGAUGUUCCCGAGUCGUAUAUUGAGUCCUUACCAAAGGUUUGCCUUGAGAUAUUUAGAUGUUUGCCCUCUGUAGAGUUAUCUCCUUGCAUAUUUUUUACUCAAAAACUUGAAUUUCCACCAUUCAUACAACCUUGAACUUGCCAAAAACUUUCCAUAUGAAUUGGAUAAUACCCCGACUGCAAGUAACAAAUAAUGAUACUUUUAUAAGAUAUAUAUAAGUAGAUGAAUCUUCAAGUGUGUGCGAAAAAGACUUCUUGGUUAGGUUGAGCACUACUUGUUUGAUAAUGUUGAUUUGAUUCUCUUUUCUCUAUAGCAAUUAUGUUAUCUUUCACAUCGUAUCCACCGUUUUGAAAUCUUUUAGUAGCUUUUAUUUUAUGUUACAGUCUGACUGAAGUUGUUUUGUUCCUUGAUAUCAGAAUGGCAGAGCGAGCCUCGGUGACCUGAUAUACCGUUACAUCACUUCCGAUCAAUUCUUUCCCGAAUGCCUUCUCGAUUGCCUCGAUUUGUCCUCCGAACACCACGCUUUAGAAAUUGCCAAUCGUGUGGAGGCAUCGAUUUAUAUUUGGCGUCGGAGAACAACUAACAAGCCAAUGAACAACACGAGCCGAAGUAGUGCUAAAUCAUCUUGGGGCAUGGUGAAAGAUAUGAUCAUAGAUGCAGAGAAAAUUGAGUUGCUUGCCGAGAGAGCCGAGGGCCUCCUGCUUUGCUUGAAGCAAAGGUUCCCUGGGCUCACACAAACUACCUUGGAUAUGUGCAAACUCCAAUUCAACAAGGUUCGUCGAUCUUUAUUCGGUCCCUCUUUGUUUUAUCUAGAGUUGAUUACAAAUUAGGUCCUUGAAGUUCGACUCGUGAAGUAUCAGUUUGUUCCAAAGUUUUGAAGAUUCGGUCCUGAACUAAAAAGACACCACUGCAGUGUCAUCGCUCAAAUUGAAAUAUCAAACAAAACUGUCAUAUCAGCAAAUCCUCAGAACGAAUGAUGUUGAUAUGGUGUCUUUUCUUAAAUGAUUGACUGAAGGGAAGGCAUAAUUAUUGUACAGGACAAAAUUCAAGACUGAAUUGAUACGAGCUAACUCGAAAGUUCUUUUCUGUUUGGCUAAAAUUUGCAGGACGUCGGAAAGUCCAUCCUAGAAAGCUAUUCACGAGUACUGGAAAGCCUUGCCUCUAACAUUGUAGCUCGCAUCGACGAUCUGCUUUACGUAGAUGACUUGAGUAGGCAUACGGAUCAGUUCUCCUCAAUUGUUCACAACAAAGUUAUCACUUCGUCGCACUCGGUGCCUGUCUCAGGCACUCCAUUUGAAACUGCUUACGCUACCCCGAGCUACUCUCCCGCGCUGGGAAUCAGUCCGAUAAAAGGAGAGAAGGCACUUUUGCUCAAUAGGAAACUGAGUAGUCGCAGUUUUGGAGUGAAGAAAGUUUUGACAGAAUAUCUGGGUGUCGAGGUGAAGGGAAAGAACAGCAACAAUACUAACACAGCUGAGGUAUCAUCGCUAACUUUAGGGUUUGGAGCUUCUUACUGAGUGAUGUGUUGUUGCAAUCCAUAGUGAAGCGAGAUGUUAGAAAGAUAGGAUUUGUGCUUCAUGUGUUGCUUGAAACUAUUGUUGUUAUGAUUGCUGGUCAAUGUAUUAUUAGACCUCAACAAGUAUAAGGUUCCUUUUCUUUGAGAAUAUGCUCUUGUUGUUGAUCUUAGAUACAGUAAAGUGGCAUGCUGAAUGAUUAAAGGUAACUACAGAUAUGGUAGGUAAAGCAAGCAUAUCUUUAGAAAGAAAAUGAAAGCCAAGAGGUAGAUAGCAUGCCACAAGAAACAUGGCAGCUGCUCAUUGGAGGUUUUCUAAGUGCAGCACUAAUGAAUACUCGGUAAAAUAUAAGCACUAAGAUGUGAUGAAGCAGGUGACCAUGAUUACAGCUCACUCAGUGCUGCAAUAAACAAGCCACGGUGCAACCUCCAUUAAAAUCUUCAUGCAAUGUAUAUUGGCUAAAUUGUAUCGAUACUCCCUGUACUAUUCCAAUAUUACAACUUCGGUCUUGAACUUUCAAUGAACCAAAUUAGUCCCUAGAGUUUCUGAUAUAUUGCAACUACAUCUCUGACAAAACACGACAUUCCCUAUAAAACGACAUUCGUGCUCAUAUUUUAAGUCCAUAACAACACUCAAAAUCGUAGACUCUUUGAGGGUCACGGAUGGAAGUGCAACUAUGUGCGAAAGUUCAGUAACUAGGCUGUUUUCAUGAGAAGUUCAGGGGCUAAGACGCAAUAUCUCGACGCUGCAGCAUUAUGUAUACCUCUCCAGAUGGCUAUGGAAAGCACUGCAGCAUUGAAGAAUGAAGACUAAUAACAGUAUGAAGUUCCUCUGCCUUCUUGUUCUCUUUGCUGCCAUUACGGCUGUAACAGAAAUUACGAAGGCCGACGCGGCUGGGGAGUGUGGUAAGGUCCCGCCAGACCGAAUGGCCCUACGCUUGGCCCCGUGCAUCGCCGCAACACAGGAUCCGCAGGCCCAGGUCUCAGAUAGCUGCUGCUCUCAGAUUCAGAAGUUGGGCCAAAAUCCUAGUUGCCUAUGUGCUGUUAUGCUGUCGAAUACCGCGAAAAUCGUAGGGGUUAAGCCGGACGUCGCGAUAACUAUUCCUAAGCGCUGCAACCUUGUAGACCGUCCCAUCGGUUACAAAUGCGGAGGUGCGUAAAUUGUUGUCGCCAACUACAUUGUUUUUUCUUCUUUUUCACCCAUCAAUUCUUGUACUUCGUGUCAUAACCGUUUUUGUAAUGUUUGUUUGCAGCAUAUACUGUACCUUGAAGGAGAGGAGGUGUAACUGUGUAAGAGUUGCUUCUAAUGUUGUGAGGUGAAAAUGUUGGUAAAAGGCUUUAUGAAUGCCUGCUUAAAUAAAUUACUUCUAAUUUGUAACAGAAGAGUGUGCAAUAAAACUAAAAAGACUGUUGUGUUUCAGCAUCAUAGUGUUGAGUAUAUAAGACUGAAAUGUCAUUAGCUAACAAUCUAGUCUUAGAGACAAAUCGUUAUUUCACAUAGUAUACCUCAAUAAACCUGUGGACUUCUCUACUUUAAUUAUUCAACGGUUUCUGCUAAACCGUAAACUUUCCUUUUUAGGUUAAAAAUGAGAGAUACCAAAAAUGGACUUAUCAAUUGAAAAGUUGGGUUCGGACGAAGCCCAAAACUCGGUGAAACAAACUGGGGUGGGCCAUGUGUCUAAAUUGGCCGAAACGGUUCACUGAGCCUCAGGAGUAAACGGCCCAAAAUUGGGCCCAGAAUAAUUCGGCCCCUUAAGACACUGUCUAGUUUGUUUGACCCGUUUACGCAAUAAGCCUAUGGGCCGAUAUCGCGUUGCGGGUGGGCUUUGUCCUGGCCCAACAUUUCAGUUGAUAAGUCUAUUUUUGGUAUCUCUCGUUUUUAACCUAAAAUAGAGACAACUAAAUCCUGCAUCCAUCGUCGGAGUCGCCCUCUCCUGCAUCCCAUACCAUGCUCUACGAUUAUAAUUUUUUUCAUCAACAGUGAAAAUAUCUUGGACCACCACUUUAACUAUAAAGCAUUUCGAAUCAAACCCCUCAAAUUUUUUUUUUCCUACUCCUACCCAUCAAUAUUUUUUUUAUUUUAAUUUGAGAGGAUUCCAAAUAGUUACCAUUACUAUACUUGAAAGUUGUAUAAAAUGAUAAAAUUAAACUUGAUAAAAUACCCACAGUGACCCCAAAUAGUGACUAUUUAGGAAAAAUCUUCUAUUUGAUAAAUGAAAAAACAANUGCUCCAAAAGGCACUAGCAAUAUUAUUCCUUUUUUUACUACUUUUUUCUACUGCACUAGCAAAAAUAGAAGCAAGAAAAAAAAAAAAAAUUGAGAGCUUCGAUUCAAGAAGGCCUUAUUGUUUAGGGGAUCUAGUACAUCUUUACCUCCGUUUUGCAAUUGUUGCCCCGUCUAAUGAUUAUAUAAGUACAUGGAAUUUUUAUCACCACUAGUAAUCAUUUGAUCACACACAAUGUUCUUCUACCUCGAAUGCGCAAUUUAUUCAACAUCAUCUACCCAUUACUUUAAAAAUUUGCAUCUGUGCAUUCAUUCAACAGCGUGAUUAUUAUUAUAAAAAUUAGAUAUCGUCUAUCCGACGUUGUAAAACCAUCAAACACAUCCAAUCUACAAUAAUAAAUCAAAUUCAAUCUACUCAAUUGUGUUGAAGUGGUGACGAGUUUGGCAUUUAAUUUCAAUACUUUUAAAAGAUGAGUCUACAUGGGGCUCCACAUUAUACUGCCAAUCCAUGUUUAUCAGCAAGCUCUGAACUAAAUAAAAUUCAGCUGAAACAUAUCACACAAUUUCAUAAAAAUUAAAAAUACAUUGAAGAAUCUCUCAUAGAUGAAAUAAAUGAAAUGAGAAGAUUGGUUAUCGAUGCUCUAUAACUGAGACAUCUAAUGUGGUUUUUCCCAUAAAAGAGUGAAUGGUCGACACCCAAUUCAGAUUAAAUCAGAUUUAAAUCAGAUUAAACCAACUAUGAUCGAUUCAUACCAAGCAGUAAAUUGAAAGGUGUGUAGCAUAUAAUCCUAUGAUCUGCAUUAUGCCUCACCAACGAAGCUCUACGGACUAAAACACGACAGUAUCGAGCAUAGUACCCAGAGUCUGCACUAUGUUAGAGGACAUCAGGUUCGAUACGUGCUCUUCCAGAUGCUUCUUUGCAUCCUGCCGGCCGACGUUAGCAAUGGCAAGCUUCUCAGGUGGCAGCUCAUCUUCUUCCUGCACCGCUUUGUUGUAUUUAACAGCUAAAUUCAGCAUUUCCUGCACAUAAUAAACCCUUGUUAAAAUAAUCAUCAAGUUCAUGCAACUGACCCACGGAGUACAACCGAAGGGGCAUUGAGACAAGUACGGUGAAUUAACUAGCAUGAAGAAAAAGCCAAAAAUAUUUGUAGCUGGUUACAUAAGGGCUACCUAAACUGCUGGUUUAUCAAAUAAAAUACAUGACCAACCCAAGUGUUCCAACCUACCACCAAAGCCCUAUUUCGGCCAAUUUUCUUUUAUGGCCAUUAGCAUAUGAAUGUCACAGGACUUCUAAGACUGUCCCACCUGUCUUCAACUGAAAGCCAAGAUAAGCCUUGGGGAAUUUGAGUCAAUUGGCUUCAUGUAACUGACAGCCACUGGCAACAAAAUCAACAGGCAGAUGGUGGAUUGAAGCAGUCAGACUGUUCAUGUCGUUCAUUUUUUAUAUCAUAAUCUUCCGUGGCAACAGAAAUUAGCAAAAACUUCAUGGGUGUGCCAAUAUAUUUGUUUCAUACAAUAAAAAAGAACAGGAUCUAAGAUUGCAUACCUGCACAGUUUGUUCGUUGGUCUUGGAAUGCGCAUCAAACCGCCGCAGCAUUAGACCGUCAGUCCACUUCUUUUUGUGCAGGUUCAGCAACAUCUUUUCCUCCAGUUCAUUUUUCCGAUAAUUUAUGGCAAUAGAAUAAUAAUGCCGGUUCAACCCAUGAAUCAAUGCCUAAACAUAGCAAGAAAUAGGUAUAACUUUGCAAAUAAGAUAGACAAAAUAUGUACGGGAGGCAAGUUUCACUUUAACAAGAAGAGCAAACCUGAAUUGAUGGUUUGUUGAGGUGUCCAACAUUAGAUGUAGUUUGGCGAGGCUCUUGGCCGAGCAUCAUUGUCUGAGGGUUGAUCAACCGAAAAGCAUCAAUGACUACUUUGCCCUUAACACUCUGGAUUGGGUCUACCACAACUGCAACUGCUCUGGGAUUCAAUGCUUCAAAACUCUACAAAAUGUAAAAUAAAGUGAAUUACGAAGUAAUAAAAUUCUAAUACAGACUAUGAGCACACAAUUUGAGCGAGUUGUGACUUGUUAGUUAACUUGAUCACGAGCUUAAAUUAUCCAGUUAACAUUAUGUUUAUACAAGAUUAUUUGAUAUAAAAGCUGAAAAGUUGAAAACCAACAAAAACAAUUUGUAACAGAAUAAACACAACAGUCAGUUCUCGAUACUAAAGAAAAAACAUGCAUCAAAAAAUAAAAAGGAAAUCCCAGGAACACACCUGUUGCGUAUUUAUGUCAACACCAGAGAGCCAACAACCAAAGCCAGGAUGUGAGUGGUACCAUCCCACCACCAUUUCCGGUCUGUGCGGUAGAAUAAGGGGUUAUUCAGGAAAUAAACAUGCUUAAUGCAAACAAUAUGGAGGACAAGAAUGGUAGACCAAAAGAAACCUUCCAAGCUCAAGAAGUACACAAUGCAUCUCGACCACAAAUUUGGAGCAGUUUAUCAAACUUUAAGAAAGGUGGAGAAGAUAAUGUUGUAAGACUAGCCAAAAAUUAAUGCAUAAGACCUACUCUGACCACUUUCAGGACCAAUGAAUUGGCGCUAAACUGCUAAUAUAAGAAACCUCGCUUCUCACAAGCAAUAUCAUUGUGCUUUGGUACCAUUGAUAUAUAGAUAGUUUGGACAGAAAGAAACAGAAAGAGUAUGACCAUUUGCCUAAUACAAACUGGCCUGCUUCUUAUAUAGUCCUAGAUAUUGAUCUCAAAGAGUUCAAGGUUCUGCGAGAUUAUGUCAGUAACAGUUUCAUCGUCAACUCAUUUUUCUUAUCAUGUUCAUGUACAAACAAUAGCUGAAAAUUAUACUCUUAGAAGGUAUUGAGUAUGACGCAUGACUGAAAGAAUCAUCGAAUGUGGAGUCAUAAAAACCUAACGAUAUGCAACUGCCCAGAAUCAUAGAGCCAAAUAGAACUAGCUAAUUUGAAUAGGCAGUGGGUAAACUAAUUAAAAUCUACUAAAUCUGAAAAAUCUUUUGGAUAUUUCUGGCUGAAGUAUUAUUGACUAACAUAUCCAGUUUUUAAGACUAUCCUAUUAUAGGCUACUACAUGAUUUGCUAUCCAAAUUAGUCAGCUGAGAGGAGAUUUAUUCAAGCUACCUCUGGACUAUAGUAAUAUACUUCAUAGAUUGAAGUUAAAAAAAAAAAAAGAAGAGAAAACGCAAAAAGAGAAGACGAAGAGAAUACAUGAACUGUAUUUUGAUCAAUAGAUAUUCACCUGAAAAUAAGGCUUUUGUAUCUAUGCUCGUAGGAGAAAUCCCAAAUUCGACUUCUCUAAAAGGAAAAUCUUAGGACAUAAGAGUACUGAAACGUUCUGACAGCAAAUUCCAAUGUCCUUCAAAUUUCAACAGAUAAUUGCAAAUGUAGGUAAUGAGUAUGAGUAAACCUGCUCAAAAGGUUGAUACUUUCACUGGUCUUGGGACAUUGCUCCUUAGAUGGUGAGGCUUCUUCCUCGAUGCAAUGAAGAAACCCACUCUAGCAUCGACUUAAAUUCAUUCAUCUACUAUAAUCACAGCUAGUUUUUUCCAUUUCCUACAUCCUGUUUUUCAUCAAUCAGCAGGCAUGAACACUCAUUUUAGUACUUGUUGUUGUUCAUUAAUUGACUUACUUCUGGGCAUGAAAGUUGAUCCAUUACGAUCGUAGAAGAAACUAACAAUUUGCAAUCAUAUUAUUCAUCAAAUUCCGCACUCAUUUUCGUGUAAUCAUCCUUUCCCCUCUACAUUAAUUCAAUAUUUUCCGUAUGCGCGGCAUUAUACUGAAGAAUCCUAAUAAAACUAAGUGGCUAAAACUCAGAAAGCAGAAAAAUCUCAGCUUUGCAGCUCCCAUUUGUUUUACCUUCCGGUCUGCUUGAGCAUGUCGAGCAUGUUGGUCUGGAAGACGUGAUCGACGGCCUCGACGCUGACGCCGGUCCCGCUCUGCGGCAUGGCGAAGACGUCGACCACGCGCACCGUGUACUCGUCCACGAACUCCCCCAGCAUCAGCCCCAUCACCUCCAUCGGCACACCCGCCCUACCUGUUUCAGAAACCCCCCAGAGCCGAAUCAGAAACCCUAAUUUGGACACGAAUCCUAGAAGAAGAAGAUAGGAUCGGAUUGGAGGAGAUAAGGUGGGGUGAGGAGGAGUAGGGCUAGUACCGUGCUUGAGCAUCUUGAGGAGGGCGAGGGAGGAGAUGUAGACCUGCUCGGAGGAGUCGAGGAGGGGUGUGUCGGUGGGUGGGUGCCCCAUCCCCCCAGCUCCGAAGAUCCGUUGGAGACGACUAUCCAUGAUCGCUCUCGCUCUCUUGUCGUCGUCGUCGUCGUCGUCGUCUUCUUCUUCUUCUUCUUCUUCUUCUACCGCUUCUGCUUCAAUGGAAGCGGAGACGAAGACGCACAAAACAUCUGGAUCUGUUGUAAUAUAACGUACGCACCAAGCCAAGCCAAGCAGUGGGUCGGUCGGGUUAAGCCAAGUAGCUUGUUGGGCUGGAUUAGGCCAGGCCGGGCAUAUAAGAAGAGAUAGUGGGCUUUUUCUACUUUAAGUGGGCUGGUCCGGUGAAACAAAUUAUCGAUGAGAGAGAGAGUCGACUAGGCCCACUUAACUAGCUGAAAAUCUAUUUAGGUAUCUACUGUCCCAACAAAUUUUGCAUCCUACUACCAGUAGAAGAGUUCGAAGCAUAUUUAAUUAUUAAUUAAAGCAUUAUGACACUGUAAUAACCCAGCCUAGUAAUACUAAUACAAACAAUACGUGGAGGACAAAACCAAUGACUUAAAAUGCUUAGAGCCUAAGUUAUUAAUUAAUAUUGAAAUCUUUUGUCUCUAUAUACACCAUCAUAAUCCUUUUCCUAUUUUAUGUGAGAUAAUAAUUAGGAUGCCACAGACACCAUGAAGGUUAAAAUCUAAUGAUAAAAGCACUCUAUGUUCAAUUGCUGCAGAUUUAGGUUUCACGUAAAAAUAUAAGUUAGCAGUACCUUGUGUCUGCUUCCAACGCAAGUUUUUUUCAGAGUUGAUUGAUUUACCUUGACAAUCGGUAGAGAGAAGCAAGUCAAUAAGCAGAUUAGCAAAUAUCUGUUGCUCAGUGGGGGUUCUAUAUCUGCUAGAGCAAUAAAUAUGUGACCAUGUGAUGGAUCACCCUUUAUCUACCAUCACAGGAAUUAAGAAUAUUUGUUCUCUUUUCUAUAAACUUCCCCAUUGUGAGAAAGUGUUUCUCAAAGAUGAUAUUGAGGUUAAGGAACCUUAACAAUGAUCUCAACAAUCUAUUGUUCCCUAGUGCUAAACAACAUAAAAAGUUAAUAUAUGAAACAGACAGUAUCCAGAAAAAUAAUAAUAAAAAAAAAUCAUCCCAGGUUAAGUGCAAUUUUGACUAGGAAGCUUGCCUAGAGAAUGAGCACUAGUCAAGCAUAAAACUUUAAAAAAAAAAUUUAAAAAAAAAGGCAAUAACCAUACGAUAAGGCAUUUCAAUGAACGGCAGAUGCAACUAGCCAGAGUUAAAACAGGGAAAAGAAAACACUAAAUAAUGUCAGAAUUACAAUAUCUUUAAUAUAGGAGUAUGGCAAUGAUGACUCCACUUGCUUUUUGAGUUCUAUGAAGAAACAUCAGCACAAAAGCUAACAUGUUAGAUAACUGACAAACUUUACAACCACAGGGAAAUGAAGUCUUUUAGGUAUGGAGAUAAUUAGCAGCCAUCAUCAGCUCCAGAGUUAUUUCAGGUUCAAUAUGAAACUCUGUUUCCUUUCCACUGCCAUAAGAAGAAAAUUUAGAUGAGAACAGUUGAAAAGAACUUCAAAUCCAGCAAUAACUCCAGCAGUAAAAAUAUAAGGCUGCAAUGUUCUAUAUCUUGUAAGAAAAUAAUUGAAAGAAUGAAGAUAGUUUAUCAUGAAGUCAUGCCAAACAACUCAGUAGGAGACUUCUUAAUAAAAAGAAAUAUAAGACUACUCGAUAUUAGUAUUGAGAAAUUAGAUAAUGAUCAAUAAAACUGAAUAUCAAUCGUAAUGUUAUUUCUUUUGAGCCAAGAGAGUACAAUCAUUAUUAAGCAGGUACUGGUGUAACAUUAUUCCUUCCUCCGUUUGGUUCAGAGUUAAGGGAUGGAAUAACCCCUUAACUCCGAAGUUAUUCCCAAACACUCAAUUUGAGAGUUGGGGUUAGCUAACCCCAUCUAUAAAUGGGCUAUUACGGGAUAGCCCAUUUGGGGUGGGGUUAGCUAACCCCACCUAACCCCAACCAAACACUAUUUUCUAUUUAUAAUAACCCACUAUCCUUCUUAUCCCACCUACUCCAACCAAACACCAUUUUUCACUAUCUUGGACUAACUCCAACUCCUAACCAAACACAAAAAUACUCUAACCCCACCUUAACCCUGAACUUAACCCUAUCCCUGAAAUAACUAAUUUUUCCUUAACCCCAAACCAAACAGUAUUGGCAGUACCUCUGCAUUUCGACUUCGUAGUCAUGAAUAUUAAGACAGUUCUUAACUAGAUGCUAACAUUCUCCAAAGACCCAAAGUGUCAACAAAACAUUGUCCAAAGCAUUCACCAAAGACCCUAAGUGUCAACAAAACAUUGCCCAAAACAAAAGGAGAGCAACAGCUAUAAGCAAACAGAUGAAAGUAUGGGCUGUUCAAAAUUUCCUGUAAAUGCACUUCACUCAAAUGAUCGACAAAAGGAAAUGGAGGUUCUUGGUAUUAUUUAAGAUUAAGUUAGUUUGAGCAUGAUUCACUGAUGGAUCAGCCACAAUUGAGACCCAUAAAAUUGAGCCAUUUAUUAGUAUGCCAUAUAUAUCUUCUUGCAAUCACUGUUUUCAUAAGAACUUACUGCCGUGCUAAAUUUAUAAGGAGUGAAUUUCUUAGCCAAUAUGAUUAGAAAGAUUUAAGAGACGGCAAAGUCGAAACUGAAUAAACACAUAACCAGAUGAACACGAUCUAAACUCUGAAGAGAGGGUGACAAAGACCUAGUUGCUGUACUGAUAUACAAGUUCUCUUCUUGCACUUACAAUAAAUAUCAAGAGAAAACCAACUAAAAGCUUGUUUUCCAGGACAUCUUGAGAGUUGUUAACUGCAAACCAGUGAAUAUUUCGAAACAAUCUGACAAAGUAAGAAAGGGCAUCGAGAUGUUGACCAUGGUAGCAACAAAGAAGAAAAAGUUUUUGCCACAUCAUUGACCAUAAAUAUUCUUCUGUGAAAAAAUGUUCGGGAAAAAAAAAAUUCUUAUCAGAAACUCUGCUAAAGUAAGAAGCAGAAGAUACCAAGAGGCCAGUUACUGCAGCAAGAAAAUAUAAGAGGUGUAAGAUGGACAAUUUUAAAUGAGGAACAGCACUUUCUAUGCAUGAAUAUUUAAGGGCACAUGGCACUUCAAAGGCACAUUUGUUGCUUGGAUUGAGUUAAUCUAGCCUAACUCGCAAUAUCAUGUGACAGGUUUGAUGCAUGAAUGUGUAAGUUUUUCUUCAGUACCAAAAAAAAACAAUAACAUGUGACAGGUUUGAUGCAUGAAUGUGUAAGUUUUCUUCGGUACCAAAAAAUCGAAAACAGAUCGCCUUGAUUAAUGGCUAGGAUGCUAGUGUGACAACACAAAUGAAUCUUCAUGUAGAAUUUUCUUACUUAAUCUGGAUCAGUAAUUUCCACAAUUGCUGUCUAUUACACAUAUAACGACUAAUUUAGGAUACAUAGCUGUCUGCAAAGGCGUCUAAGGGACCUAAGACUGCGAACCUUAUAGUCAAUUUUCAAUAAUUAUCAUGGAAUUAGAAGAUCACUCUUUAAUACGACUACUUGACAAGUGAGCAUUCACAGUGAUUUAUUGCAAUAUAUGAAGGUGGUAAUAUUAUCUUGUAUGUGUAAAUCACCCACUCUGUUUUUCCUAUGAUGACAAUGUAAUGAAGAAUAACCCUUGAUGUCUACAAGAGACUCUUACUAAAAAUUUCAGUGUAUCAAAAAUCGCAUACUCCAAAACCUUAGUCAGGAAUCAGGAUGUCAGAAAAUCAAGUUUUUAGGAUUAAGUAGUUCAUCUGCACCAACAUCAAAAUCAUUUUUAGUUUUUCCCCAUUACUUGACAGACUGAAAAUGCCUGCAAUCGAGAACAUCAAGAUAACACAAGUUAUAAAUCCACAAUUUUUUUUUAAAGCAAGAAUACAUAUUUCCCUUCAUUCUUAUCAUCUCCAAUAUAGUUUACAUAUGAUUAAGACAAGCUAACAAAGAGAGGAUAAGAUAAUAGCCAAAGUAACAACUGUAUGAUACUCAGAUUUAAAGGUGUCUAUAUGGUAUUGCUGGUCAGAAAUGAUAUGAUGAAAUAUUGACCUAUAAUAGAUAACUGCAAUUUGUAAAAAUCCAAAAACAGGCAAUUCAGUUAGGUGAAUUUCUUUCUCAUUUUUAAGUCGACCAAAUUCUAAAGAACAAGAAGGGACUUUAAAUCCUAGAUAUUGAUACACUACGUCAUCAUUGCAGGUUCAUAACAAAAAAGAUCUUUUUUAAACAACGGUCAUAGCUUCGUAAAAUUUCAAUGCAAGCACUUAGUAUCACAGGAAAUCAUAUCUUCCCAGGAAUUAUGCAAGUUCAGCUCAACAUAAAGGAUGACUGCACUGUGAAUCCAACAGUCGAAAGCCACAAAUUUAGCGGUUCUGUAUUGUAACAAAAAUACGCAGAAUAACAACACUAGAUAUCAGCACAGAUGUAUUAGUUAGGUCCUAGAAAAGCACAAGCUACGUGAAGCCUUCUCUUGUUUCAUAACAUAUUUGUUCAUUCUCUAUGUCUGGUCAACAUUCCUAUCUAAAUGUGCCAAAAAUAACAGUCAAUUAAAAUAGUGCCAAAUGAAUUACUUUUACUUCAAACCAACUUCACGUGGUUACACACAUAUGCAAAUCAACAGUUCAACAUGCAUCAAAGCACUUUUAUGGACUCAAAUAAUUGGAAAAUAAAACAGCGAGAACAAGGAUGAGUAAUUACAUGUUUGCUCUAGUUUUUGUUGUUUUUGAUGUUGAAACGGUCUUUCUUUAUUCAUGGGCAAUGAGUUUCGACAUAUUGGGUGUAUCUGUAUUUAUCGAAGCAUUAAUUUUCGUGCUUAUCCCAAUUGUGGGUUCAGUUUAUGCAUGGCGAAAAGGAUCGUUCAGAAAAAUAGUAUUUCUAACAACUAUAGUACUUAGUAAGUUCUUCUGACUGUAAAGAAUGAAAAUUUGAUUGUAAUGGCUGCCCACACCGCUAUUACAUAAAACCUAAAGAUGCAGGUGCUAUGCAUAACAUUUGAACCAUACAACAUUUGACAUUAAGGAAAUUUUACAACAACAACAGUGCAUGAUCAAACAGAUUCCGAUACAAAGAAAUGGAAAUACCACUACAUUUGCAGUAAUUCAUUCCACAAAUCCCACAACUUAAUGAAAAUCGUCGUAGCAGUAAGACAAUCGGUAGAAUUUCACAAUCCGAUCAAACUCGUUAAGCAUAAGCUUCGUUAUCCCCAUUGCUGUGCCCGUAACAAUUUGUCUUCCUUUCGACUAGGAUUAACACCUCGACACCCCAAAUCCAAGCAAAAUCGACUAAAAACAAGACGUAACGUAGAUCAAUUAAGCGGGAUAACGCACCAACCUGGCGUAUUGAAGAGACCAAUAGAAAUAUUGGCAGAUCUUCUCGAGGAUCGGGGUGCUGAUCUCGGGAAACGUCACCUCGCCGAGCUGCGUCUCCGCGAAUCCUCCUGCGUGGUGCGAUAGAAGAGAAACCGCAUCAGAAACCCUAACCCUAACCCUAGCGUGGAGGGAUCGGAGGAGGGGAUGGAACCUGGAGAGGUGAGCAUGUUGCGGAUGGUCUGGGAGACCAUGGCGGCCUUCUUGUCGACGACGAACUCGAAACCCUCGGCGCUGAUGAGCUUCACCGUGUCCUCCUUCUUCAUCUCUUCGUCGCCCUCUCUUCUCCUUCCUCUCCCUCUCUCCCUCUCCGCCCCCGCUUUCCCCCGAUCGCUAGAAGCAGUUUUUCUGUUACGACCUUUUCUUUUCUUUUUUUUCUUCCCUGCCCUCUUAGUCUUCGUCGUUUGGAAUUACGGAGAGAUGAUGUUACGAGCGGUGGUAAAGUAGGUUGAAAAAAAUAUACUAUUUAUUUUCACGAUGAAUCAAUUACGAUAUAUCUAUAUAUUUUUUUCUUAACUCUAUUUUUUUUAAUAACAUUAGAUAAAUCUUAAUAUCAAAAUAAGUCUUAGUUUUUUACUGUUUUGGUGAACUAAGAUAAUAAUGUUAAAUAUAAAAUUAUAUAAGUAUCGUUCUCUAAUAGCUUAAAAUUUUAAAGUACAAUGAUUAUUUUAUAUAGUAUCAGAGGAAAAGAUUCUGAGUCAAGUCAUGCUAGAUCCCUAACAUAAUUAAGUUCUUCCCAUUUCAUUCAAAUUCACGUCAUGAUCCUUGCAAAAAGUCUCGAAUCCAGACAUGAGUAUUAAAUAUAAAAUUAUAUAAACACCGUUCUCUAACCGCUUAAGCUUUUAGAGACAGUUAAAAAUAGGUAUGGUGAGCUAUUUGGUUGUAUGUAUUUCUAACUGCAUUGCAGUUGAAAGUACAUACAUCUAUUAAAUUUUUAUUUGGUUUAGUGUAAUUAGACCCAAUUGUUGGAGCUGCAUCUGCACGAGAAGGCUCAACUACAGCAGUUUGACCGGAGUCGGCUCACCGAUUAAAAAAAAAAAAUGAAGUGUGAUUUUUUUCCUACGCUUUUUUUUUUUCAAAAAUACCUAUUCAUGAAAUUUGAUGGAGUUUAAUAAUGUCUAUUAGAGUCGAUAAAUUUUGUUCAUACGCUUCUUUUUUUUCAGUAUGUUACUUUAAUAAUAUCUUAAUUUUUAUUUUGACAAAUCUAUAAUAUAUUUGCAUUUAAAAUUUAAUAAAAUCAUACAUAAGUUUAUAAUAUAUAAAUGAUAUAUAAAUAUCAAAAUCUUAAUUAAUAAUUAAAACAUGAUUACAUUAUGCUCAGGAGAGGUAAUCUCACAUUUCUAACUAAAAAUUGGCAGAAUUUACAAAUACAAAUCUCAACUACAGAUUACUAAACAGAAAAAAUAUAACUGCAGUAAUUGCAACUCCAUAAACCAAACAGAUUAGAUGUAGUUAUGACCGUAGAUUUUACAACUGCAUGUAUUUCUAACUACACUACUUUUAUAAUUACAUCUAACCAAACGGCUCCGUAGUGUACAACGGUUGUUUCACAAAUAAUCCGGCUCAUCUCAGCCCUCCGUCUUGUUCCAUAUUCUAAUCUCUACCAACAAAAAAUUUACAGUAUUUUUUGUUAUUUAAAAAUAACUGCGAGCGCUGGAAAGUUAAUCUUAUAAUUUUAAAAUAAAUAAGCUGUAACUUUAAAGUUAAUUCAAUCUAAUUCUCACAACUUUUUGUGUGUUGUAAUUUGUAAUGAACUAAUUCGAUUUUCUCGUACCUACCGAGUAUGACCAGAAUUCAUUGGCGUUUAAAAUUUCAUUUCCAAUAAAAUGCUAAUUAAUCAGCAGUAAAAUAACAACAUUUAUCACACAUUCUCUCUAAAUACUAAUCUUUAUUCGAUACCACGCACUAGAUGAAUAUGACCAGAAUUCAUUGGCUCUUAAAAUUUCAUUUUCAAUAAAAUGCUAAUUAUUCAGCGAUAAAAUAACAACGUUUAUCAUGCAUUCUUUCUAAGUAAUAAUUUCCAUUCAGUUAAUAUCGAGCAUCAGAUGAAUGACAGUAGCUAAUAGUGCUACAUAAUUAUUUUUUAAUCUUUUGGCUGUUGUAAUAGCAAUUCAAUAUCUUACAGUGUUAAAAUCUUAUUUUCAGCAUCUGUCUCGCUUAUGAAAAAUAUUUGUUCUCGUUUACAAAAUUUUCUGUUGGGAUUUACUCAGUUAACCUACUUGAAACUCACUCGUAAAUCAUAAUCCAACUACAAUCGUUUAAUAUAGAUUUAAUAGUCAACAAAACAUAAUGAUUUGAAUCUGUGAACAUAGUUUUCUAGAUCGUACAAGCUCAGAAUGGGCUCGGAUUGGGAGCAAUUGUAACCUUGAACGCAUGUCGGUCCUGAACUGAUGACUAAUUAAAAUUGUAUAAACAAUGUGCACGUAUUUUAAUUCAAAUUAUUAUGUUGCUCAUAUUCAUUCCGUUCAGAGCAAAUUGCAGCAGAUUCCUCACUAAUCCAAGCCGUUAUUGUUCGUAAACCAUGCAAAAAAGUUUGUGGGUUGGGUUAUAGUAAUCGGUGUGAUUUUUAUUCGCUAUUUCUUUAAGGGGAAAAUUCCAGAUACUCUUCCUGUGAUUUCGCACUUUCUCAAUUUAGUACUAUGUGGUUUAAAGUGUAUCAAGUUAGUAUCUUGUGGGCUAUGGUUUCGUACUUUCUCACUUUAGUAUCAUGUGGUUUAAUAUUUUAUUAAAUUAUAUACAAAAAACUUCAGAUACCCUAUAUAGUUUUAUCAAAUAUUCAUUUUAAUACCCUUUAGUUUUAAUUUUGUCAUUGAUUUAACGAAAAAAAUUCUGAAAUAUAUAAUAAAAAUAGAAAAAUAAAACUAUAGGAUACUAACUUGAUAAAAAAAUAAAACCACAGAGUACUAAUUUAAUACAUUUUAAAUCACAAAGUACUAAAAUAAAAAAAAAUAGAAAACUAUAGUUUUAUUUUUCUAUUUUUAUUAUAUAUUUCAGAAUUUUUUUCGUUAAAUCAAUGACAAAAUUAAAACUAAAGGGUAUUAAAAUGAAUAUUUGAUAAAACUAUAUAGGGUAUCUGAAGUUUUUUGUAUAUAANGGAUACUAACUUGAUAAAAAAAUAAAACCACAGAGUACUAAUUUAAUACAUUUUAAAUCACAAAGUACUAAAAUAAAAAAAAAUAGAAAACUAUAAAAUAUUAAUUUGAUAUAUAUUAAAUUAUAUGAUAUUAAAAUGAAACAAUACGAAAUUAAGGUGGGGUAUUUGAAGUUUCGUCUUCUUUUAACGAGCAACCACCCAAUCAAUCAGUGGCCUAAUUUUUUUUUUCUUUUAAGAAAUCCCACCCAUUCAAUCAGAUUAUUAUUAUUCUAUACUUAUAUUCUCUUUCCAGAGUAUCUUCACUAUCUCAGAUGGCCAUAUGACUAGUGUGUCACGCAAUUAUAUUUUGUUAAAUCAUUUUCCCUCUCUUUCUUAAUCUCAUUCAUUACCUUAACAACCCGUCACGUGAUGUGGGAACCAUUACUUAAUUUAGGGCAAAAAUUUUAUAGGGAUCGUCCACAAACUAAAUAACUUUUUAGUUUAUGGACGAUGCGGAUAGACGCCGCGUGGCCCUCUCCUACGAGAAAAAAAAAAAAAAGUGGGCCUCAAUUUUUAGAGAGAGAGAAAGUGAUGGACAGGGAAGGCGAGGAUAGGCGCGCGCCAGCCACGCGGCGCCCAUUCGUAUUGUCCUAAAUUUUUAGUUUGGAGAUAAUGUCCAUAUAAUUUUUAUCCCUUAAUUCGCUAGUUCUCUACUCCAUUAAAAUUAUCCUAAAAGCUCCUUUUUCUUCGGACAUUUUGUCGAAACAAUCUUAUAAAAAUUUAGAUUUAGAUAAAUAGUUUUCUAAAUUUUUUUUUGGCAAAUUGAUCUAUAUUUUGUCAAAUAAAACAGUGAAUCGUUUAUCGUCUUUAUGAAAACUGUGAAUUAUUUAUCGCCUCCUAUUUUUUCAUAAAAGCGUUCACCAUAUUUUCCUCAAUGUAUAUCUCUCUUUUUUUUAUUUUUUAUUUAUAUCCUAACAACCAUAUAAACAUUUCAAUAAAUUAAUACAAUUUUAACUAUCUAAAAAAUCUUACUAAUCUAUCCCUACAAUCCUAACAAUUAAAUUAAAACUCUAAUAAUUCACAUACAAUUUUAACAACCUUACUCUCUUUUUUUUUUUUCUAUUUUUCAUAUAUAAUCCCAACAAUCAUAUAAAAAUUUCAACAAAUCACAUUUUUUUAAUUUUUUAUAUAUAAUUCUAACAAUCAUAUAAAAAUUUUAAUAAAUUAUAUACAAUCUUAAAAGUAUAAAAAAAAUCUAAAAAAAUGAUUCACCGUCUUAAUAGAAUAUUAUGAAGACAGUAAAUUAUACUCUUUCUCAACUUACUAGAGUUUUGUAAAAUAAUUUUAUGAAUUUUUAAUUUUGAUAAUUAAAUUUUUAAAAUUUUAUCAAAAGUUUGAUUCACUAUUUUUCAGUAAAAUUACUAAUUAAACAAUCACCGGUGAUAAUUUUUAGAUAAUUUGAUGAAAAUAUUAAAUAAAUACUCUAAAAAAGAGUAAAUUUUACGCUCUAAUUGAAAUAUAUACAUAGCAUUACUUAUUUCCUAAAGUGUCAAAAUAUAAAAAACUUAUUUUUUUUUACUUCUCCGAGUGAAACUAAAAUAUUAAAACGAAAACUAAUAUAAAUUUAACUUUCUAUUUUUUUCCCUGCAUUUUAAAGCCUGCAAAAUCACAGAUAAUAUGUUCCUGGAGAAUAGUUGUUCAAGUUGUAAUUUUAAUUAAAGAAAUUGGAAGAUUAUUUAUUAAAAAUUUAAAAUAUAGAAAGUUUGGUAUUUUUAUUUCUUAAAAAAUGGUCCAUCCCUAUCUCGCCCGUGUCUCUCUCUCUCACUCCCCUGCGACUCCACCUGCCAUUAAAGCAUACACAGUGCCGUACAGUGUGUGCUCAGGUGGACCAUCACCUCGGCAUCCGUGUUUCGACGGGAAACUCGGGCGCUCUCCCUUGCCCCCACUCUUUCCCCCUCUUCUCAAGCAAAAGAUAUUCACACACACACACACACACACACACACGCAUACGCAUACACUCUCUCUCUCUCUCUCUCUCUCUCUCUCUCUCUCUCUCUCUCUCUCUCUCUCUCUAACCACUGCAGAGAGAUUCAGAUACAGCACAAAACCCAAAGAACAAAGGCUCACAAUCACAGCGCUCCUCACUAACUCUCUCUAUCUCUCUCUCUUUCUCUGCGGAUACAGUGAUUUGAUCGCAUUAACUUAACUGCAGCAGGCGACGUCACGGCCACCGCACCCUUCCAAGCUGCCCUGUACGCACCUAACCCGUUUCAGCAGCUUUUUCAAUACACCCGGCCCACCGUAGGCAUCCAAGAACCCAGCCUUUAUUUGACUUUUCUUCGCACUCACAGUCCUGUUGCUGUAGAAGCUUUAAAUCCAGAAAUAGAUCGAACGGCAGAUUACGUACCGUCCAGCAGUUUCAUACUAUACAACUUGCCAUCGGAGGGUGGCAAUUCAGUUCCUAGUUUGGGAGCCCAUUCUAUUCUAUUCAAAAUGAGUUUGGGAUCGAAAUGCUCUAUUAGUAAACAAUUCGAAAUUUUCGAUAAACGAGUCGAACACCAGUUAGGAUCAGCUCGAUCAUAUUCGGCUUGAAAACAGUUCGAAUAUAUAUAUUUUAUAUUUAUAUAAUUUGUAUAUUUUAUAUUUGUACAUAUUAUUUAUAUAUAAUAUAUAUUUUUAUUAUUUGAUUUUUAGUUCUACCUAAAUAUAAAGUCUAACUCAAUUAUAAAAUUUUUUAUUUAUAUGUAAAAUUUUACAAAUUAGAUAAAAGUGCAAUGAAUAAAAACUCAUAAAUUUAUUUACUAUAUAUAUAUUUAAUUUUUUUAAUUUAUUAUUCAUAAGUUAGUUUGUGUUUGGCUCGUGGACAUUUUCUACUUGCAACCACUAAAACAAGAUUUUAUUUUUUAAGCAUGAUAUAUACUAUAGUGCAAACUAGCUGACAUCUUUAUUCAACAUAUAUAGUAAAAUUAUGAGUUCUGAAUCGGGGGCUUACGUAAUAGUGAUAGAGUAUGGGUGUCUAACUGUGGGCGAGGCUUUCGAAUGGUUGAGGAGACUGGUGUAGAUGGACUACGGUCCACGCAGUGAUUUCUUUAGUUUGGAGCACGCAUCAUCUUAAGCACUAAUAAUUUCUUCUUUGUUUUUCCGUCAGAGAGCAGUACGAGCGAACUCCAAUAGAAAACCGACACAUGAGCCCUUCAAAUAAUCCCACUAUCCCGGGGCCCCGAAUCUGGCUGUAAUCAUCAUCUUAGUUCAUCCUCCCCUCCCUCUCUCUCCCUCUCUCUCUCCUCUCUCUCUCUCUCCCCCCACCUAUGUUGUUACGAGAGCUUAACGCUACUACCGGUUCCUCGUGGGCCCCGCUCAUUGGGUAGGCCUUUUAUGUGGCGUCUCAUUCACGCGGGCCCACCCCCUCUUCAUUAACCACUAAGAAGGGGCCUCCCACCCGACAACUGGUCCUGAUCGACGGUCACGAUCGCCACACUCCAUUUCUCUUUAAUUAAUUAAUGAUUCGACUUUUACUAUUAUUAUUAUUAUUAUUAUUAUUAUUGGUUAAGAAGGGUGGGUCCCACUGCGGCAUCGCACGACCCCCUUCCGUUUCGGACCUCCCACGUGUGCGCGCGCGCGCGUCAUCUAAUCCCCAAAUUAGAAGCCCUUUUAGCUGCGAAUUAACUAGACCUUUACUAAAGCUAAAGACCCCUCAAUUUUAUACCAGUAACAAUUUAUUAUUAUAAAAUUCAAUGCGACCGGAUAACGUCAAUCAUACAGUUCCGGUGACACAAACCGGUCCAUCCGGUUCCUCCGCUGUUCACUCUUUCUCUCUCCUUAUUAUACUCUCACAACCACAUUACUCUCUCUCUCUCUCUCUUUCUGUGUGUGUGUCUCUCUCUCUCUUUCGCUUUCACUACUCACCAUACUCUCUCUCUCUCUCUCCGCCCUUUUUCAGAGAGAAAGAAAGAGGAAAAAGAGAGAGGAGGAGAACAAAAGAAAAGGGGACAGGCGUCUCCACCCAUACUCUCUCCAGAGCUACUGAUAUACAUCGGAUAAGCGGUAGCUACCGCAACGCAACACAAACGCACGGCGCGCCUCAAAAUUUCCCCCAAAAGCACCGAACUAAGGAUACUCUUAACGAUGUCCGCGGCCACCGGAGGGUACGGCGGUGGCGGCAUCGGCGGCGACGAGCUUUUCCAACCGCAGCAGCACCAGCACCAGCACCAGCACCAGCAGCACCAGCAAAACCGCGGCGGCGGUGGGCAGAUGUAUCACGUGCCCCAACACAGCCGCCGCGAGAAACUGCGCUUCCCACCGGAGGAAUCUCCCCCCACCUCUCUUCUGUUACUCCACGAUCCCCACGCCGCGCGUCCCCCGCCGCCGCCGCCGCCGCCGCAGCAGCAGCAGUUCUAUCCCCCGAACUUGUUCUCGACGUCGUCUUCCUCUACCUCUCACGAUCCCAGCAGCUUCGGGUUUGGUACGCCUCCCUCCGCCCAAUUCGUGCCCGCGAGCCACGCGUCCUUCCCCCACGUGUAUCAUCAUCACCCUCACUAUCAUCAUCACCAUCAUCAUCAUCAUCAUCAGAUCCCGCCGCUGCCGCUGCCGCUGCCGCUGCCGCUGCAGCAGCAGCAAGGGUUUUCGCUAUCGCUCUCCUCGUCGUCGUCGAACCCGCCACGUGGCGUGCCCGUGAGCGCAGGGCCGUGUGGGCCGUUCACGGGCUACGCCGCGGUGCUGAACCGGUCCCGGUUCCUCGGCCCGGCCCAGCAGCUUCUAGAAGAGGUGUGCCACGUGGGGCGCCGAGCGGGUGUAGGGGACGGAGGAGGAGGAGGAGAUGGGAGUGGCGAUGAAGGAGGGCUUCUCGAUAUGGAUCCGUCGGAGACGAUAUCGGCCGUCGAUCGCGGAUCGGACGGUGGCCAGGAGGGCCCGAUCGCUGCGGGGGUUGAGCAGCAGUGGAAGAAGACGAGGCUUAUCUCUUUGAUGGAGGAGGUGAGAUAAUAUUUGUUUAUUUGUACAUAUAAAAUAUAAAUUCUCCCUAUUAGUUUUAAGGCAUAUAUAAUUGUUUACAAUAUUUUUUUUUUUUAAAAUAACAUUCCUGAUGAGAUUCGCUUCGGGAAUUAUGAAAGAGAGCUCGGAAAAUAUGGGCAUGAGCUUUCAUGUCAAUAGAUUUCCGCCGCACCUGGCGAAUCUGAUAAUUAUAAAAGUGUAGGAAAUAAUGGUCACAUCAUUGAUUCAAUCAUCUUCAUUUUCUUUUUUUCUUUUUUUUUUAACAUUAAUCCCAACAGAUUAUAUAAUCUCUCGUGCUUAUUUGGUUUUAAUGAUGAUCUAUAAUUAGGUAAUUCAAGCUUAUUGAUUCACCAGAUUUUUUCUAGCUGGAUCUAAAUAUGUAGCUAAUCUUAGAUCACAGUACAAUUUUUAGGUUAUGAUUUACAUGUGAUGAAGCAUGGAUGGGAGUGUUGAGCUAAACGAGGAAAAGGAAGUGAUAUAGUGAAGUCGGUUCCUAGUCUACUAGGCAUGAUAUAAAUAGCAACAUCUGUGGAAUAUGGAAGAUUUGAGUUCACAUAUGCGAGAUAGGUGCAUAAUUUUGUUUGUUUUAAUGUUCUUUUGUGAUAGGACAUCAAGUGUUUGGUGUACUUGCCGGUUGUUAUGGAUAAUAUAUGAAGGAUAUUGUUAAGCUGUAUUCGCUGGAAAUAUUUGUGAGAGCUCUACUGUUCAUGUCUUGAUAGAGAAAAGCUUUGACGGCAGGCGGGGUCUUGUGCAUGUAGCUUUAGUUGUGUUUUGGCAACAUGCUGAGGCUGCAGAUCCAUGAACAAGUUUCUAGUUUUUACGCAUGCAUAUUUGUCUCUUAGAUGGGAGUGUUGCUUGUGAGAACUGUGCUUAGUUGUUGGAAAUUAAGAAGCAAAAUAUCUUUACUUUUUGAACGUUAUUGUUCAGUGGCUAUAUGACUUCACCUUGUUUUCUUUUUCAAAUUCCUUAUUAUGUAAACAUAGAAUGUUUGCUCAGCAACAGCCAUUGAGCUAGAAUCAAAUGAUAUCCGCCCAAGCUAAAAUUAUUUUUUGAUUUAGCAACAGAGAUUGUUCAAGAAUCAAGUUAUGUACUCCUUAUAUCGGCUGAUAAAUUAUCUGAAUUGCAAUAGGAUUUUUGAUUUUUGAUUUUUGAUUUUUUUUUUUGGUGUGCAUGAUGUUUAUUCUAGAUCUUGUAAGAAUUUGUAUUGCAAGACUUGUACUUCUUUCUUUAUGUGUUGCUAAAUGCAAUAAUGCUUACGCAUGACAGCUUUAAAAGAGCUUUUAAGAUUGAUGAGUUGUCAAAAAUACAUACGGAGAUGCAUGCAAACAUACAUAUGGUAGUAAAUGAUUGGCUCUCAUACAUUAGGUGGAUACACUUAAAAGUAGGUGAAUAGUUUUGGACAGAAAAAAAGUUAGGCAAGAGAGUAAAGAUUGUACAUACUUUUGUGUGGGUAGUUGGCUCAGAAUAGUGUUAAUUCGAUGUCUUAUUUAAACUUGGGAGAAGUUUAGGUGAAGAAAGAAUGGGCAUAUAUCAUAUUGAUCAUUGUGCUAUGCCUGAGUAUUAAACUCAAUUGAGGCCAAAUUAAUUGAAAUCUAAGUUGCUUGAUUAAACUUUUAUCCAUGCUUUGAUUCGAUGCAUAAAUCACUUACUUGAAUAUCUGCAUUUGGCUAGAAUCAAGAUAAAAAAGCUUGUUUCCCAUAUAAUUUCAUGUUCCUUCUCUGAAUAGGAAAGCCACCUUUCACUUUGUUGGCUAAAGAUUCCUACUUUUAGAGUCUGUUGACAGUAGGAGCAUGAUCUUUCUGCUUUUGCCAUCAACAUUUUCGUUUACAGUGAUUUCUUGCUUUAUUACGUGUAGUUUUGAAUAUUUCGACUUUUCCCAUGAUUUUGCUCGUAUAAAUUUCUUGCAGGUCUCCAAAAGAUACAAGCAGUACUACCAGCAGGUGCACGCAGUUAUCACAUCGUUUGAAUCCGUAGCAGGACUAAGUACCGCUGCCCCAUAUGCAUCAAUGGCCCUAAAAGCAAUGUCAAAGCACUUUAAGUGUUUAAAGAGCAUGAUAUCUAACCAGUUACGCCAAACAAAUAAGGUUCUUGGGAAAGAAGGCAUAAAUAAAGAAGAUAUUUCGAGCUUUGGUCUUGUAAGUGGUGGUAUAUGUCUCCAAAGGGCGAAUAAUAUGGGAAAUUUUGGUCAGCCCCAUGUCUGGCGACCCCAAAGAGGGCUUCCUGAACGUGCUGUGGCUGUUCUUCGUGCAUGGCUAUUCGAACACUUCUUGCACCCGUAAGUUGCUUUUUCUAUUUAAAGUAAUUACAUUACUAUGCAUUGGUUUCGUGCAGUUAAUUUUCAUCACGUGGAGGUAGCUCUCCAUUAGCUUUAUUGUUCUUUUCAUGUAAAGCUGAUUCUAUGCUGAAUAUUUCAAAGAUAUUGUUGGUCUACUAUAUUUGUAUAUUAUUCAACUUGUAACCUUCAGUCUCUAGGGUUUCACAGUAAGCCCCUCUCUUUCCUUGAUUUGCUUUUAUUUGGUUUUUGAGACUGAUUUCUGUAGGGGUUGAUAUCAAGUUUGCCGGAAUUUUAUCAGUUGUCCCUUAUAGUUUUGAGUCAUAUCUUGUGUGAUCCUUGUUGGUGAGAGAUACUGUGUAUGAUGACAGCUAGGAGGAUUCAAUUAGCUUGUCCAUGAGGAUUAAUUACUUGGAGUAUGACGUACUUCUGCGAUAUGGUAUACAGUGGGACAGCUGCUACUCCAUCUAUGUUACAUGAAUACUAUUCCUUAUUUUGAUCGUAGCGUAAUUCGCAGUGCACAAUUAGAAAAUUUGUUGACCAUAUAGUAGCAUAAAGUUGAAAAAUUGAAAUAAUGAAGUAACACUUGCGUUCGUUUGGGGUUGGCCUGUGGAACAUGUUGCACGUGGCCGGAAAGUGUGAUGAGAAUAUAUUUCAUUUGUUUCCAUUAGUGACAGCAUGUUUUGCUGCUUGCACCAGUUUGAUUAAGAUAUGAUUCAUGGAGGCUUACUGAAACUCGUUUGUCUCUAUAUACUUCUACCCGGACUUCUUUUCACCCAAAAGCAUUACGAAGUCCUCAAUAUUAAACAGGCGCUUAGGGGAUGUAGAGCAGUCCCACAAGAUUGUGUAUAGUAGUUGUGAUAUGCCAUGCACAAAUUAUGUCAUCUGAAUGACACGUUCCAAACUUAUGCAGGUAUCCGACAGACACUGACAAGCAGAUGCUGGCUAAACAGACAGGUUUAACGAGAAACCAGGUAUUAAACCUUUUGCUAUUUUCCCCUCGAAUAAAAUAUGGCAUGUUAGGUUAUGCGUUUUAUUUAUAUAAUAUCACAAAGAGCAAUACUCACCUUUCAUCAUACUGGUUCCUUUCCUAUGACAUUAAGAUUCAGUUCACUACAUCUUCAUUGAAGAACAAAAGAAAUGAACACUGUAUUCUCAUGAAUAUCCUUGAUGAGCCCUGUUCUCUAUCUCGCAGGUCUCGAAUUGGUUUAUUAAUGCGAGAGUUAGACUAUGGAAGCCAAUGGUUGAAGAAAUACACAAUCUCGAGAUGCGCCAGUCUCAGAAACUUCCAUCAGCCGAUAAUGACCAAAGCGGCAUUCAGCAAUCCCACCAGCCAUCAGAUUCCAGCUCAAACCCCUCAGGACAUAGUGGCGGCAUCGAUAAGAAUCAUAAUUCUACAUCCAAAUGCAUUCAAAGUGAUGUUUCCCAAAUACCCAAUAGUAACAUCCACGAGCCUAUCAACUUUGUAUACGAUGGACUGAACAGCCAACAGCAUAUUGGAGUCGGUGUUGGCCUUAACGGAGGAAAUGGCGGCGGUGUUUCUCUUACACUAGGCCUCCACCAAAACAAUCGGGUUUGCUUAGCUGAGCCACUUCCGUUGACCAUGGUUCAUCGCUUUGGCCUCGAGGAUUGCAACGAAGCUUACAUGAUGGGUUCGUUCGAAGGGCAAGAUCGGCAGUUCUCAAAGGAUAUUAGCGGUCAUUUACUUCAUGAUUUUGUUGGGUGAAACUUGUAGAACAGAUUAUCUAUAUGUUUGGUUAGUAUGGAUUUUACUCAUUUCUUUCUGCUUGAAGUUGAAUUAUAUACACAUUUCCAUCUUCUUACUUUGUUAGCUAAUUUUAGUGACUACAUACACAGGGUGAGAGGGAACAUAUCGGCCCAAAGAAUUCUCCCAUGCGCGAGAAAGGUAGAGGGUUUGCUUCUGGGCAAAAGAGAAAUUGUAAGUCUAUAUAGAUGAUGACAUUUCCUUCUUUGUACAAUGUGAAUUGUGUAUCUUACUUAAUGAUUAGUUAUUAAGCUCUACAAAGGAUAUGUUAUUAAUUAAAGUAGGCAAACUGGUUGAAAUAGGAGGCUAAGUAUGCAAGUUGGGAGGCCAUCUUGUAUCCUUACAGGUGGGGAGUCUCCUAAAGUAGGGACAUACCACACUUGGUUUUGCACUUCUUUCCUCACUAGCUUUGUUUUAUCUCUAUGCAACUUUUAUCUAAGAUUGCUAAUAUGUAUUCAAUUAGAUUCAUCUCUUUGGUGGAUUAUGUGUGGAUACUAUAUCGGUUACACCCAAUCCAAUGGAAAGGUACAUUGAGUUUGGAGUCCUCUUAACUACCGGGUUUACCUUAUGAUGGGCGUUGGGUAACUGAGCCCUUGAAUAUGUCGCGUUUGAUUAGAUGUAUUGGAUGCUUGGGCCUCUAUGUAGGCAAUUCUUUGAUGGAAUCCAUGCUAUUUAAUGUAUGACUUAUGUGGGACUAGUGCUCUAUGAUGGACUAUUAUAAUAUCUGUUACUGUAUCAGUUGUUGGAGGCUCUGUUAUUUUAUUGUAAUUUGUGGGACAAUGGGAUCGGGUUACACCAACCAACUUGCUAUAUAUAUAUAUAUAUAUAUAUAUAUAUAUGUUUAUAUAUANUAUAUAUAUAUAUAUAUAUAUAUAUGCUUAAUAUCACUAAUAAAAGAGUUGAUUUAUAGUGUUAGUGGAACGGUAUGUUCUUAAAAUAAUGGGAUAACUUAAAACCUUUUCUGUGGAUUCAUAUUUUUUCACUUUAGUAUUCUGUGGUCUAAAAUGUAUCAAUUUGCCCUCCUGUGGUUUUUUUUUUUAAUUAAUUAUAUUAUAUUUUUUUUAAAAUCAGUGAUAAAAUUAAAAUUAAAGGGUACUAAAGUAAAUAGUUGGUAAAUCUAGAUGGGUAUUUGAAGUUUUUUGUAUAUAAUUUAACGAAAUAUUAAGAAAAAGUUAUAGAAAAGAUAAAAAUAAAACCACAUGGGAUAAAUUGAUAUAUUUUAAAUCAUAGGGUACUAAAUUGAGAAAAUAUGAAACUAUAAGAGGGGUUUUUGAAGUUUUUUCUAAAAUAAUUGUUACUCGUGGAGUAGCGUUUUUUCCCCCUUUUCAAGAAAAAAAGGGCUAUAUAAAUUAUCAGGCGUUAAUACUUGUAGGCCUGGUUUAUGAAAUAUCCUUUCUAUGUAUCUUUAUUGAUUUUGGACAGUCGUCGAGAAUUUGGCAGACCCACUUGUAAAAAGGUAGGGCUGACAACCAGCCGAAGACGAGGUAGCUGGAGUUGGCUUAUCUUUGUUUGUUUAUUAAACAAGUCGAAUGAGUUCAUUCAUUAAAAUAUUAAGAUAAAAAAUUUAGCUUGUAUUCGAUUCGUUUAUUAAAAAGUCGAACAUGAGCGUGCUAGUGAACAACAAAUUAAAUUUUCUGGUCUGUUAUUAGUUGAAAAGUUGAAAAAAAAAUUAGAAAUUAAAAUUUUAUCUAAUAAUAAAAAUUUAUAACACACACACACACACACACACACACAUAUAUAUAUAUAUUUACAUUUGAGUUGGUAGAAAAUUCAAAUAAUAAAAAAUUAUAAUAUGCAGGAUCGAGUCCGAGCUAUCUCAGUCGAAUACGAGUGAGCUGGAAUAUCGAGUCGAAUAUGAGGAGCUAUCGAGUCGAAUACAAGCGAGUUGGUAUAUCGAUUUAAAUACAAGCGAGCUAUUUUCAACUCAUGUUUAGCACAUUAAAAUUUCGAGUUGAAAAUUUUAACUUAUAUUCGACUUAUUUAUUAAACGAAUCGUUCAAUUUCGAGCUUAUUUUGAAUUGAAUACAAAUUAACUCAUGAAUAACGAGCUAACUUGUCAGCUCUAUAAAUAAUUAUUUGGCAAAGAUAAAGUUAAAGUUUUGGUGUUGCUCUGCCUUAUAAAUUUUAUUUUUCUCCCUCAAAAGGCAAUUUGGGAUUAGAUAUUUUAUUUUAGUUUUACUAAAAUAAAACUAAAAUAAAUUAAUGAAUGAGGGUCAUUUUGCGCGGAGACAAUGGAGCUAUUCUCACAAGUGUUUGUCACGCCCCUUAUUAAAUCUCUUUUACUAGUUUCAGCAUUUGUUUAUUUUUACAUCCUAUGUUGGGUCAUUGCAUUAAAUUGGCACUGGACGUGUUUAUAAUGUCUUGGAAAUGACAUGUACUGUUCCGUAGAAUAAUUGCUUUUCUUGGAAAUGACAUACACCGGAGUGCAAGUAAUAUCAAAGGGCUAAAGCCUAAAGCGGGUGUUUUGGAUGCUUUUGCUCCCCUCGAUUUUGUAGCAUCUCUCUCUCCCUCUCUCUCUCUCUCUCUCUCUCCACUCCACUUUUUCUCCACUCACUUCCCCACUUACACUGUGGGAGCAGCACAGUGCUGAUUCCCUUAAUUAUUGGCACCCCUCUUUUGUCCUAACCACUGUAGCUUUUUCUCUGCAGUGGUACAAUACUUGGUUUUUUUUUUUUUUUGGGUAUUAUCAAGUGCUAUUUAUUUAGUGCCAUUAUUAUCAGAAAAGAUAUUGAAAAGAUAUUGCAUUAAAUUUCUUUAAUGCUUUUUAAAGCUUAGAAUCUUUUUUUCCUAUUUCUGGCGUUUUCAUAUUUAAUAUUUGUUAAAGCUUUAAUUAAAGAUGGUUAUAGUUCUGCUCAAGUAAUUGCAAAAUGAAGGCAAAGCUAAAAACCAAGAAAUAAUUGCUCAAAGGGUAAGUUUUAUUUUGGUUCUCUUCGGUAUUCAAGGCUCUGACCUUCCUAUAAACUUUUACUAUUUCAACUUUGAACUUUAAAAAUUUAUUACUUUAGUUUUUAUCUUAGAAUAAAAAUUAUACUUUAUAUCUACUUCAUCUCUCUCUCUCUAUAUAUAUACGUUUAUAUUUUCAAUCAACAUUUAAUUUUAAUAUAGAAAAUAGUUGUUAUUCAAUGGAGGGUAGUGUUAAAAUAUAAAUGAAAAGAAGACCUGAUAAAUCUAUAUAUACUACAUAGAUGUGCAAGCGCACUAGGAUAAGCAUUAAUUUAUCCUCUAAUAGGGCACAAAAAAAAAUGCUAACUAUACACCUAUAUAAUGUUGUAAAUCUUACACCUUUUGCAUCUUAGGGGUCAUUUGGUUAGAUGUAAUUAUAAAUAUAUUGUAGUUAUAAAUGCAUACAGUUAAAAAUGCAGCAGUUACAACUACAUAUAUUCUGUUUGGUUGAAUAUAGUAGAAAGCGCUGUAAAUAUAAAUAAUUUGUUUGGUUGCAUACAGUUGAGAAAUAAUUUUUAGAAUUUUAGAAUUUUAUAUAUAUGACGGUGGGAUUACCUCCAAUGUGAGAAAGAAAAAUAAUUUUUUUUAAAAAAUAAUUGAGCAGGUAAGCAUACCUUUUAUUUAAAAUUACUUUCUCCAAUAGCUGCAGUUGGAACUGCCGCCAAUUUGGGCAUAGUUCGAACUGCUGCAGUUGAGCCUCCUCCUGUAGUUCCUACUGCAGCAGUUGGAAUUAAAUACAUCAAGCCAAUCACCGAAUUUGCAUUUGCAUGCAGUUACAACUGCAAUACAGUUGCAAUUACAUCCAACCAAACGGCCUAUGAGAGUUUAUAAUUUUUUUUGUGGGGAUUUUAGUUAAAAAAAAAGAUUUGUAAGACUAAAGGGAGAAGAUGGGCUUUUGAAUAAGUGCAAUGCAGAUCCUACACCUUUACGUAACCUAUUUUGGAAAAUAUUUUACACUCAAAAUUAGAAUGUAAAUUUUAUAUUCUAUUCAUCAAAAAAUUAAAACAACUUUUUUGUAUUUUUAAUAUUAAAAAAUAGAUUUGUGGUCAGAUUAGUAUGAUAAAUUGGAUCUUUGGUUAUUAUAUAUAGUAUACUCUUGGGUAUUCUUAUACUAAUAUUUCUUAAUGUUUUGGGCAUAUAUUCUUUUUCGUAAAUUUAUAUUGCCAAGCCCAUUUACGCAGGAGAUAUGUAACUUUUCACAAAUCUUUAUCAGCCCACUACACACACAAUUGAGCUGGGCCCUUAAAGGGGCCCAAUUAUCUUGUUUGGGCCCGGAUCGAAAGAAAAGGUUCAGGUGGUUUUAAAGUUCCGCGGAAAAGCAUAAAAAAGUAUAUUUCGAGAUCAAGUUUUUCAUGAAAAUAUCCUUUUCACAGCUUUCAUUUUUUUUUUUUGAUAAAAACUUUGAAAAACGAAAAAAGUAUUUUUCAUAAAAUUUGAUUUUUUCUUUUGUUCAGAAAAUUCACUUUUUCUAUGAAUCAAAUGAACAGCAGAUAUCUUUCCGGCGAGAAAAUUAUUUUUUGAAAUAUUUUUUUGAAAAACCAAACACGCGCCGAAAAGAAAAGCCUUUGCAAAAUUAUUAUCUCAUGAUGAAGUCACGGCGACGGUCAAUCUUGUAUCUGUACAACGAUCAAAUUUUAUGCAUCUAUUCUGUAAUUAUUAAAUCCGAUAUAUUAGCUACUGUUAUAGUACUAAAAAAUACUGUAGCUCAACUUUUCUUCUUUUUUUUUUUUUUUUUUUUUUUGGGGAGAUAAAAUGUAUUGUUAUAACUCUUUUCUUCAUUACUCACCACCCUCGUUUUUGUGUGACUUACCUGGGUCUAUUUUUAGCUUUUACCUGUAGUCCAUCUGACUCAUGCAGUUUCCAUGUACGAAUUACUAAUGCCGUGAUUUAAUUCCCACCGACCACUCAUCAUGGUUUGAAAAUUUUGGAAAUUUGAUCAUAGGAUUCCCAAGGACAAGCAAGCUUUCACAUGUACCGCUCUUUUAAGUGCUUCAAAAAAAAAAAAGGGCGAAAAUAUACAUGUGACCACACCGCUAGCUAGGACUUAGAUUUGAGUAGACUUGGUCUAAUCCAACGAUCAAGGUUAGUUAAGCUAGGAUUAACAAAAUAAUAGUCACUAUUAAAUAGUUUAAGCUAAAGUCUACUUAGGCAGUCUCAAACUGUAAGAAAAAUUUUAAAAUGUGGCAUUAGGACCCAUCAAUAUAUUGCACCCAAUUUCUACAAAUUGUAGAGUUCUAUUAAAAAAAAGCCUAGAAGGCUAUCUGAGAGUUUCGACGAGGUUUGAAAACUAUUUAGAUAUUUUCGGCGCAAAUUAGAUGCGAAAAUAAACUUCAGAAACUCAAAUCUGCCAAGGCUUUAUGUCCCCCACCAAUCACAUUUGCUUCUAAAUUAAUCUUAUUUAUCUUAUCAUAAUUUUUUUCUAUCAAAAUAAAAGAUUUGAUUAGUUUGAAGCACAAUAGCAUGUUAUCAGUGCAACCUAGAAGACCACUUUUUAUUUUUUAUUAGAGAGUGUUCAGGUUUCUAUAAAAUAUGCCAGAAAAUAGUUUUUUGGUUAAUAAAAUAUUUUUCUGUCUAUUUAGUACUAAGUUGAAAAAAUAAUAAUUCUAUAGAUUUCAGGAUAGGUUGUGUUUUUAUUUUCCAAUUUUUUUCAUUAAAAAAUACAAGUUUUGAAAAACAAUAUUACUAUAAAAACUAAUUUUUUAGAUUUUUCCGAGAAAGAAAUAAAACACCACCAGGGCAGGAAAAUUUUUGAAAAAGCACUUUCAACUUUGCGUUUGGGAAAAGCCACUCGCCACUGGGGGCUCCUCGAAUUGAAGGCUAGCCUGAUGUUCAGAAGACACCAUUUAAGUCCCCUGGUGGUGGGGGAGUCCACAUUUGUACGUAUCUGCUACGAGUGCAAUUUCGAGCUUCUGAUUUAUUCGACUAUGGAGUUCAAAAAGAGCUCCAGCACAAAAAUUAAUAGACAUGGAAAUAAACAACAAAAAAUAAAAACAAUUAAACAGAGCAUUUAAUUAGUAGGCCUCACCUAACCCAUUUAAUUUACUCCAUCAGAUUCAAUUCCCCUCGAAAUAUAUACCACGACGAGAAUUACUCUGGCUCUUCCCACAGAGCGAAAACUGGCUGAACUAAAUCCACCACGUACGUCAUCCGUGAGCCAUCACCAAUUAUUUCAUAAAUUGCCGUUUAAUUAAAUAGUGUUAAUAUACAAAAAACUUGUGGAUAGCAUUUUUUUUUUUCUCAGCCAAAAAAAAAAGAAAAAGAAAAAAAUUGUUAAAUGCUGUACGUGUCGAAGGUGCAGCAAAAAUAAAAGCAUUACCAAUUAAGCAGGGAGAUUUUGAGAUUUUCCGGUUUGGUCUAAGGGAUCGAUGAGCAGGUGAAGGUAAUAAUUAAUAUUCUGGUCCAUAUAUGCAACUGGUCAAACUAAAUGACCUCAUCUUUCCGGGUUUUGAGGCCAUUGAGAAUUAACCUUAAUUAGAAGGUAGAACCCACACCGCUGAACGGGUGAGUCCUCUCUCCUUACGAAGCAAACCCACGCCUCACCACCUCGCAUUUAUUUAUAGUAACCUCAUCAUUCAUAACUCUCCUCGUCCUUGGCGGAGACGCGGAAGCCAUUUAUGUGUCACGCGUCCCGGGCCCCCGGAUACGGUGCAAUUUUGUAUACGUAGUAUUUAUCAUUUGUAUUAUUAUUAUGUACACAGUACACGUACGUACGAGUAAGUAUAGUACGUGUAGAUCCUAUCUCUAUAUAAACACCCAGUGACAAUGCUCUGGGUCUCUCUGUGGAUUGUGACUAAGAUCGAGCAGCGGUUGAGAUGAGAACCAUGCUGUGGUUACUAGUAGUGGCAAUGCUGUGGGAGGGCUCACUCUCUCAUAGCACUGUUUCUUCCACAUCCUAUCCACCUUAUUAUGCUAACUCCCCGCCACCGCCACCACCACCGCAUUAUGCGCAACCGCCACCGCAUUUGUCGCCUCCGUCACCGCACUAUUCGUCGCCACCACCGCUCCCGCAUUACGCACGGCCGCCACCGCCACCACUAUCGUAUUACACGCAACUGCCACCGCCACCGCACUAUUCGUCACCGCCACCGCCAUAUUCACCCCCGCAUUUCUCACCGCCGCCGCCACCCCACCACGUCCAACCGCCUCCACAGCACCGACAUCCGCCGCCGGCGCCGCCGCCGCCGCCGCCGCCGCCUUAUCAUAAACCACCACCAUCCCACAAGCACCCGCCACCGCACAGAGUACAUCCACCGCCGCCACACCACCGACACCUGUCACCCCCUCAUAGGCACCGACACCCGCCACCUCAUCAUGUUUACCCGCCACCUCAGCAGAAUCAGCCGCCACCACCUCAGCUUACUUAUCCACCACCUCAUCAUGCUUAUCCGCCACCUGAGCAGAGACAGCCGCCAACUCAUCAUAAUUAUCCGCCACCUCAGCAGAGACAGCCGCCACCUCAUCAUAAUUAUCCGCCACCUCAGCAGAGACAGCCGCCACCUCAGCAUGCUUAUCCGCCACCGACGCACUAUUCAUCACAGCCCCCACCACCUCACCUCUACUUGAAUCCGCCGCCGCCGCCGCCGCCACCGCAGGGAUACGCACUGCCAGUGUACGUGAAAUCGCCACCGCCGCCGUCGCCGCAUCUGUAG